rnacentral:tRNA from 1 species
AGGGUUGUGGCUCAGUGGUAGAGUGCUUGCCUAUCACGCAUGAGGUACUGGGCUCAAUCCUG